CCUACGGGCGGCAGCAGUGGGGAAUAUUGCUCAAUGGGGGAAACCCUGAAGCAGCAACGCCGCGUGGAGGAUGACGGUUUUCGGAUUGUAAACUCCUUUUGUUAGAGAAGAUAAUGACGGUAUCUAACGAAUAAGCACCGGCUAACUCCGUGCCAGCAGCCGCGGUAAUACGGAGGGUGCAAGCGUUACUCGGAAUCACUGGGCGUAAAGAGCGCGUAGGCGGGAUAGCAAGUCAGAUGUGAAAUCCUAGGGCUUAACCAGAGAACUGCAUUGGAAACUGUUAUUCUUGAGUAUGGGGGAGGUAGGUGGAAUUCUUGGUGUAGGGGUGAAAUCCGUAGAGAUCAAGAGGAAUACUCAUUGCGAAGGCGACCUGCUAGAACAUAACUGACGCUGAUGCGCGAAAGCGUGGGGAGCAAACAGGAUUAGAUACCCGAGUAGUC
rnacentral:rRNA from 1 species